GAUGUGACUUCUAAAUAUUUAUUGAAAUGUACAAAUGUGUUUUCUCUUAAAGGAUUGCAGAAAAGGAUAAGCAGAUAAAACAGACUGAAGACUCUUUAGCAAAUGAACAUGAUCAUUUAGCAAGUAAAGAGGAAGAACUUAAGGAUAUACAGAAUAUGAAUUUCUUAUUAAAAGCUGAAGUACAGAAAUUACAGGCCCUGGCAAAUGAGCAGGCUGCUGCAGCACAUGAAUUAGAGAAGAUUCAAAAAAGUGUUCAUAUUAAGGAUGAUAAAAUACGAUUGCUGGAAGAGCAGCUACAGUGUGAAAUUUCAAACAAAAUUGAAGAAUUUAAGGUGUGUGAUUAAACUUUUACACUGUUUUCUUAGAAUAGCCUUGUGUAAUUU
rnacentral:lncRNA from 1 species